CAGCAGGCCAGGCAGCAUCUCUAGGAAGAGGUACAGUCGACGUUUCAGGCCGAGACCCUUCGUCAGGACUAACUGAAGGAAGAGGAGGGCCAGGUGAUUCCCAGGAGGAGGUUUCCUGGUGCCAGGGACUCAUUGUUGGAGGGAAUGGCAACUACAGGAGUCCGUGCAUGGCAAUUGGGAAGGAGAAUCCACACUAGCCAGCGCAGGAGUCUCUGUGGAAUACAUCAGGAAGAGAAGGGCCCAUCAGCGGUAAAUUCGCGGCUAGGCUGCCCGCC